GAUGAACGCUGGCGGCGUGCCUAAUACAUGCAAGUCGAGCGAACAGACGAGGAGCUUGCUCCUCUGACGUUAGCGGCGGACGGGUGAGUAACACGUGGAUAACCUACCUAUAAGACUGGGAUAACUUCGGGAAACCGGAGCUAAUACCGGAUAAUAUAUUGAACCGCAUGGUUCAAUAGUGAAAGACGGUUUUGCUGUCACUUAUAGAUGGAUCCGCGCCGCAUUAGCUAGUUGGUAGGUAACGGCUUACCAAGGCAACGAUGCGUAGCCGACCUGAGAGGGUGAUCGGCCACACUGGGACUGAGACACGGUCCAGACUCCUACGGGAGGCAGCAGUAGGGAAUCUUCCGCAAUGGGCGAAAGCCUGACGGAGCAACGCCGCGUGAGUGAUGAAGGUCUUCGGAUCGUAAAACUCUGUUAUUAGGGAAGAACAAAUGUGUAAGUAACUAUGCACGUCUUGACGGUACCUAAUCAGAAAGCCACGGCUAACUACGUG
rnacentral:rRNA from 1 species